rnacentral:rRNA from 1 species
AAUCCAUAGGUUAAUGAGGCGAACCGGGGGAACUGAAACAUCUAAGUACCCCGAGGAAAAGAAAUCAACCGAGAUUCCCCCAGUAGCGGCGAGCGAACGGGGAGGAGCCCAGAGCCUGAAUCAGCAUGUGUGUUAGUGGAAGCGUCUGGAAAGGCGCGCGAUACAGGGUGACAGCCCCGUACACAAAAGCGCAUGUGCUGUGAGCUCGAUGAGUAGGGCGGGACACGUGGUAUCCUGUCUGAAUAUGGGGGGACCAUCCUCCAAGGCUAAAUACUCCUGACUGACCGAUAGUGAACCAGUACCGUGAGGGAAAGGCGAAAAGAACCCCGGCGAGGGGAGUGAAAAAGAACCUGAAACCGUGUACGUACAAGCAGUGGGAGCCCCACCACCAAAGCAUUCUCUGGUGUUGAAGGCCCUGCAAAGCAGCAUCGCGGUGGCGGAGCGUCGUUUGCGACGCCCAACACACAAAACAAGCGGUGAGUGCUUUGGGGUGGGGUGACUGCGUACCUUUUGUAUAAUGGGUCAGCGACUUAUAUUCUGUAGCAAGGUUAACCGUAUAGGGGAGCCGUAGGGAAACCGAGUCUUAACCGGGCGUUAAGUUGCAGGGUAUAGACCCGAAACCCGGUGAUCUAGCCAUGGGCAGGUUGAAGGUUGGGUAACACUAACUGGAGGACCGAACCGACUAAUGUUGAAAAAUUAGCGGAUGACCUGUGGCUGGGGGUGAAAGGCCAAUCAAACCGGGAGAUAGCUGGUUCUCCCCGAAAGCUAUUUAGGUAGCGCCUCGUGAAUUCAUCUCCGGGGGUAGAGCACUGUUUCGGCUAGGGGGCCAUCCCGGCUUACCAACCCGAUGCAAACUGCGAAUACCGGAGAAUGUUAUCACGGGAGACACACGGCGGGUGCUAACGUCCGUCGUGAAGAGGGAAACAACCCAGACCGCCAGCUAAGGUCCCAAAGUCAUGGUUAAGUGGGAAACGAUGUGGGAAGGCCCAGACAGCCAGGAUGUUGGCUUAGAAGCAGCCAUCAUUUAAAGAAAGCGUAAUAGCUCACUGGUCGAGUCGGCCUGCGCGGAAGAUGUAACGGGGCUAAACCAUGCACCGAAGCUGCGGCAGCGAACGUAUCACUUAAAGCGAUUCAGCGGGUUACGAUUGACGGAGCGAAGCGACGUCAAAGCGUAUACAAAGUCGAGUCGGUUUAAGGAUACGUU